rnacentral:rRNA from 1 species
CCUACGGGCGUCAGCAGUAGGGAAUCUUCCACAAUGGACGAAAGUCUGAUGGAGCAACGCCGCGUGAGUGAAGAAGGUUUUCGGCUUGUAAAGCUCUGUGGGUAGUGAAGAAAGAUAUAGGUAGUAACUGGCCUUUAUUUGACGGUAAUUACUUAGAAAGUCACGGCUAACUACGAGCCAGCAGCCGCGGUAAUACGUAGGUGGCAAGCGUUGUCCGGAUUUAUUGGGCGUCAAGCGAGUGCAGGCGGUUCAAUAAGUCUGAUGUGAAAGCCUUCGGCUCAACCGGGGAAUUGCAUCAGAAACUGUUGGACUUGAGUGCAGGAGGGGUGAGUGGAAUUCCAUGUGUAGCGGUGGAAUGCGUAGAUAUAAGGAAGAACACCAGUGGCGAAGGCGGCUCACUGGACUGCAACUGACGCUGAGGCUCGAAAGCAUGGGUAGCGAACAGGAUUAGAUACCCGAGUAGUC